rnacentral:tRNA from 1 species
UCACUUGUCUAUUCCGGGGGAGAUAGAAGUAUUUGUACUGCAUAGUAUGGAGUUUCGAAUCCUCCGCGAUGCGU